AUGUUCUUCAAAAAUAUGUUUGAAACUUACACUGUCAAAUCUACACUGUUCUUCUUCUCUCUUCAUCUAACUUUUCCAUGUUUUGAUUCUUCUGUCAUGGUUCUUCUAUGGUGGCUUCAAACAUCACACACUAAACCAAAUCUACAACAACACUUUUAUUUUGAAACCCUAACCGAUAUCACAAAUGAAAGCAAUGCACACGUCUGUUUACUUCGAGAAAUUUGA